AAUCCAUAGGUUAAUGAGGCGAACCGGGGGAACUGAAACAUCUAAGUACCCCGAGGAAAAGAAAUCAACCGAGAUUCCCCCAGUAGCGGCGAGCGAACGGGGAGGAGCCCAGAGCCUGAAUCAGCAUGUGUGUUAGUGGAAGCGUCUGGAAAGGCGCGCGAUACAGGGUGACAGCCCCGUACACAAAAGCGCAUGUGCUGUGAGCUCGAUGAGUAGGGCGGGACACGUGGUAUCCUGUCUGAAUAUGGGGGGACCAUCCUCCAAGGCUAAAUACUCCUGACUGACCGAUAGUGAACCAGUACCGUGAGGGAAAGGCGAAAAGAACCCCGGCGAGGGGAGUGAAAAAGAACCUGAAACCGUGUACGUACAAGCAGUGGGAGCACCCUUUGGG
rnacentral:rRNA from 6 species